rnacentral:rRNA from 1 species
ACCUUAGCGUUGGUACGGUGUGAUUAACACGUGGGCAACCUACCUUAUAGUUUGGGAUAACUCCGGGAAACCGGGGCUAAUACCGAAUAAUCUGUUUCACCUCAUGGUGAAAUAUUGAAAGACGGUUUCGGCUGUCGCUAUAGGAUGGGCCCGCGGCGCAUUAGCUAGUUGGUGAGGUAACGGCUCACCAAGGCGACGAUGCGUAGCCGACCUGAGAGGGUGAUCGGCCACACUGGGACUGAGACACGGCCCAGACUCCUACGGGAGGCAGCAGUAGGGAAUCUUCCACAAUGGGCGAAAGCCUGAUGGAGCAACGCCGCGUGAGUGAAGAAGGAUUUCGGUUCGUAAAACUCUGUUGUAAGGGAAGAACAAGUACAGUAGUAACUGGCUGUACCUUGACGGUACCUUAUUAGAAAGCCACGGCUAACUACGUGCCAGCAGCCGCGGUAAUACGUAGGUGGCAAGCGUUGUCCGGAAUUAUUGGUGCGUAAAGC